rnacentral:tRNA from 1 species
CCUGGUGGCUCAGAUGGUAAAGCGUCUGCCCGCAAUGCAGGAGACCCAGGUUCGAUCCCUGGGUCAGGA